AACGAGGCCGACCUGCGGCUGAGUUACCUGCGGAGGGAUCAUUACACAACAAAAUAUGAAGGUCUGGCUUCGCGGCCGGCUGAAGUAUUUUUUUUCACCCAUGUCUUUUGCGCACUUGUUGUUUCCUGGGCGGGUUCGCCCGCCACCAGGACCAAACCAUAAACCUUUUUUUUAUGUAGUUGCAAUCAGCGUCAGUAAAAACAAUGUAAUUAUUACAACUUUCAGCAAUGGAUCUCAGAU
rnacentral:misc_RNA from 1 species